UGGGAAAAGCAGUGAAGACCAUACGCUGCUGCUCUGUCGGCGACCAAGGACGACAAAAAGAAGGCCAAGAUGGAUUCGGCGCCUCACGGCGACAAGGUCAGGACCCCUGCGGCCGCCUCCCCCACUGGCCGCCAGCAUGCAUCUCAUCUCGUGCGGCGGCUUCCGUUGCCACGCUGAGGAGCGACGUGGGGGGGGGGGCGCUGCCGCUGAAGGUGUUUUCCGUCGGUUGGUCUGCAAGCGGGUUGGAUAAGAGAUGGGGAAGGAGGGGAAGCAGCGCGUGGAGGAUAUGAGGCGGCAGAGGGGGAAGGAGGACGACACCUAGCUGAUGGGAUGAUGGAUCCGGCUACCACUACUUGGUGGCCGAUGCAUGUUCUCGGGCUCUAAGCUCGACCCCACCAUCGCCACCUGCAUUUCCGGCAGUGCUCUAUGUGAUUGAAAAGUAUACUGGCUUAGGAUCAAUUUAGAUGGUUAAUCUUUUGGCAGUAGAGAAACUAAGAUACAUAUAUUCUUGGACAGACUUUUCGGAGGCCCUCAGCUGCCAGCGACGAGGCGGGAUGCCGCCUGUUUGCGUCUCGUCGAGGGGUUGGACGCAGGCGUGGGAUCAACGGGGGGUAGUGUUGUGGACGGAGCGGUGCCUGCCUGACCGAGCUAGACGGCACAAGGCGUCGGCGAUUUUGGACCUCCCUGCUGCCCUACAUCGUCCCUUCAAAUCCCAGACAGUGGUGUGUGCUGAGUUUUGAUUACCAUGAGAUGCGAGACUGGUGAAAGAAGAUGUUGUCCCGACGGAUGGUGCCUACUUACAGGAAGGAGCCAUGGAGAUCGACAUGUGGCCCAAAGUACCAGGAAAUUGUGAACAUCCGAAUGAGUGAUGGUACUAAUCGGCGCGUGGUCUGGUUCUAGAAGUUGAUGCUGAAAGAGGUGUUGUGCAGGUCUUUGAAGCCAGGCACUUCAUGAAUAGACAACAAAAGUUCAUCGGCGAGAUUUUGUGAACUCCUGUCUCGCUUGAUAUGCUUGGAUGUCUUUUUAAUGGUUCUGGAAAACCUGUUCAUAAUUUUGCAUGAGGCCUACUUGGACAUCUCGGGCAAGUGCUUUCUCCGUUCAGGCACACUGUUCUGAAGUUCGAGUAAUCCAAGUGAGAGAACCUACCCUGAGAUGAUUGAAACAAGGAUAUCUGCGAUUAAUGUCGUGAACUCCAUUGAUCGAGGGCAAAAUAUUCCUCUCUAUUCUGCUGUUGGGCUUCCUAAUUGUUGCUCAGAUUAGUUGUCUUGCUGGUCUUCCCAAGAGUUUGGAGAAAGGCAAGCACGCAGAGCUCACCAAGUUUGAUGAGAGGCAAAAGUGAAGAUGUUCACAAGGGGCGCGAGAGAGUGUGGCGAAAAGACAAACAAGGGUGCCAUUUCAUCCCAGUGACGCUGAUGUCAAGACCGGGAGAUGGCACCGCAGAGAGAACAAGAAAUAGCGUUGCUCCAGAGAUAUAGUUGGAGACCAAACUAUUGCAGGCGGCACAUAAACCGUGGUCGCCAGUGUUCAAGAAACCAUGUCCAAGGUCGAAAGAUGACACCCACCAUUGCAGAAUAGAGCCAUGGUUUGUUCCUGGUGGUGUAUUGUCAUAGAUUUAGUUGGUGGGAAUAAACUAACAGCAGGAGCAGCAUACAUGUAAUAGAAAGUGGUGGUCUAACUCAUCUCACUAGAAUAGCCAUUUACUUCAAAAUUGUAAAUCAAUCUUGUAUGCUGCAACUUUAGGUUCUGCAACUUUGAAGUUCAAAAAUUGAGGUGACGCUGUGCUGUAUCAUAAGACAUAGGUUUAUCUUUGAAUUUUAACAUCUGCCUGCUGAUUUAAUUUUGUGGAAUUGAAAUAUAAAUUUGGGGUUUCA